rnacentral:rRNA from 1 species
UACGUAGGCAGCAAACGUUGUUCGGAGUUACUGGGCGUAAAGAGUACGUAGGCGGUUUGCCAAGUUUGGUGUGAAAUCUCCUGGCUUAACUGGGAGGGUGCGCCGAAUACUGGCGAGCUUGAGUGUUGGAGAGGGGAGCGGAAUUCCUGGUGUAGCGGUGAAAUGCGUAGAUAUCAGGAGGAACACCGGUGGUGUAGACGGCUCCCUGGACAACCACUGACGCUGAGGUACGAAAGCGUGGGUAGCAAACAGG